rnacentral:rRNA from 1 species
GACGAACGCUGGCGGCGUGCUUAACACAUGCAAGUCGAACGGAAAGGCCCUGCUUGCAGGGUACUCGAGUGGCGAACGGGUGAGUAACACGUGGGUGAUCUGCCCUGCACUUCGGGAUAAGCCUGGGAAACUGGGUCUAAUACCGGAUAGGAGCCAUUUUUAGUGUGAUGGUUGGAAAGUUUUUUCGGUGUAGGAUGAGCUCGCGGCCUAUCAGCUUGUUGGUGGGGUAAUGGCCUACCAAGGCGGCGACGGGUAGCCGGCCUGAGGGGGUGGACGGCCACAUUGGGACUGAGAUACGGCCCAGACUCCUACGGGAGGCAGCAGUGGGGAAUAUUGCACAAUGGGCGCAAGCCUGAUGCAGCGACGCCGCGGGGGGGAUGACGGCCUUCGGGUUGUAAACUCCUUUCGCUAGGGACGAAGCUUUUUGUGACGGUACCUAGAUAAGAAGCACCGGCUAACUACGUG